GCCAACGUUGCGCAGAGGUUAGCGUGUCCGCCUAUGACGCCGAAGUGUGGGUUUAAAUCCCGUCGUGAGCA
rnacentral:tRNA from 1 species